GACGAACGCUGGCGGCGUGCUUAACACAUGCAAGUCGAACGGAAAGGCCCUGCUUUUGUGGGUUGCUCGAUUGGCGAACGGGUGAGUAACACGUGAGUAUCCUGCCCUUGUCUUUGUGAUAACUUCUCGAAACUGGGGCUCAUACCGGAUAUGAUCUCCUGCUGCAUGUUGGUCGUUGGAAAGUUUCGGCCGUUGUGGCUGGACUCGCGGCUUAUCGGCUUGUUGGUGGGGUAGUGGCUUACGAAGGCUUUGACGGGUAGCCGGCCUGAGAGGGUGACCGGCGACAUUGGGACUGAGAGACGGAGCAGAAGGGUACGGGAGGCAGCAGGCGGGAAUAUUGCACAAUGGGCGGAAGACUGAGGCAGCGACGCCGGGUGCGGGAUGAUGGCUUUUGGGGUGUAAACAGAUGUCGAAUGUGACGAAGAGUGAGUGACGGUAAUGGGUAAAGAAGCAACGGCUAACUACGUG
rnacentral:rRNA from 1 species